rnacentral:rRNA from 1 species
GACCGGGUGAGUAACACGUGGGUAACCCUGCCCAUCAGAAGGGGAUAACACUUGGAAACAGGUGCUAAUACCGUAUAACAAUCGAAACCGCAUGGUUUUGAUUUGAAAGGCGCUUUCGGGUGUCGCUGAUGGAUGGACCCGCGGUGCAUUAGCUAGUUGGUGAGGUAACGGCUCACCAAGGCCACGAUGCAUAGCCGACCUGAGAGGGUGAUCGGCCACAUUGGGACUGAGACACGGCCCAAACUCCUACGGGAGGCAGCAGUAGGGAAUCUUCGGCAAUGGACGAAAGUCUGACCGAGCAACGCCGCGUGAGUGAAGAAGGUUUUCGGAUCGUAAAACUCUGUUGUUAGAGAAGAACAAGGAUGAGAGUAACUGUUCAUCCCUUGACGGUAUCUAACCAGAAAGCCACGGCUAACUACGUGCCAGCAGCCGCGGUAAUACGUAGGUGGCAAGCGUUGUCCGGAUUUAUUGGGCGUAAAGCGAGCGCAGGCGGUUUCUUAAGUCUGAUGUGAAAGCCCCCGGCUCAACCGGGGAGGGUCAUUGGAAACUGGGAGACUUGAGUGCAGAAGAGGAGAGUGGAAUUCCAUGUGUAGCGGUGAAAUGCGUAGAUAUAUGGAGGAACACNCAGUGGCGAAGGCGGCUCUCUGGUCUGUAA